UGGGGUGUAGUGUACGGAACACGCUCCCUCCUCUUGGGCGGUGAAAACAUCGUUAGAAUUGAAGGGAGAGACCCGGGUUCGACUCCCGGUGCCCGAA